rnacentral:lncRNA from 1 species
AUUUCUCUAAGCAUCAGAAGGAUCUUGAGUGAAUCAAUAUAUAUUCCUUCUCCCCACAAUGCCUGGGGCCUCUCUGGAUGUCACGUAUCCCUCUUCACUCACUACUUUUCCCCCUCCAGCACCUGGACGCUCCCACUCUAACCCAUUCGGAAAGCUGUCCACUAUAAGAAGCCCCAGAGCGAGAGCUUGACAGCCAGGCAGAUUAUGGCCAGGGGCUGAGGAGAGGGAGCCAAAGCUACACUUACUGCAUCUGUUUCUCCAACUGCCACCUGCUCAGAAAAUCGAACCUUCACAGGAUUGGACCUCAACUUGGCCUUCUUCGCAGCACUGAUGAAAGCAGAUUUGGGGGACUGGAAAAAGAACAGAGAGAUGGUACCCUCCUGCUGGCUCAUCUUCCUCUUCUGCCUGCACUCUGAACGGAUGAUCCUGGCCAACCACAGAGAGUGGCCACUGAGAAGCUGUUUGGAGAAAGAGGCAAAGAAUAAUGAAGUAAGCCUGCAUAAGGAGAUAAUUCAAACACUGUAUCACUCUGUCACCCAGGCUGAGUGCAGUGGUACAAUCUUGGCUCACUGCAACCUCCGCUUCCUGGGUUCAAGUCAUUCUCCUCCCUCAGCCUCCUGAGUAGCCGGGAUUACAGGUACG